UACGGGGGGAGCAAGCGUUGUUCGGAUUUACUGGGCGUAAAGGGCGCGUAGGCGGCCACCGCAAGUCGACUGUGAAAUCUCCGGGCUUAACUCGGAAAGGUCAGCCGAUACUGCGGGGCUAGAGUGCAGAAGGGGCAACUGGAAUUCUCGGUGUAGCGGUGAAAUGCGUAGAUAUCGAGAGGAACACCUGCGGCGAAGGCGGGUUGCUGGGCUGACACUGACGCUGAGGAGCGAAAGCGUGGGGAGCGAACAGG
rnacentral:rRNA from 1 species